AGAGUUUGAUCAUGGCUCAGGAUGAACGCUAGCUACAGGCUUAACACAUGCAAGUCGAGGGGAAACGACAUACGAAAGCUUGUCUUUUGAUGGUCGUCGACCGGCGCGACGGGUGAGUAACGCGUAUCCAACCUCGCCCAUCACGUUGGGGAUAACCUUGCGAAAGUAAGACUAAUACCCAAUGAUAUCUCUAGAAGACAUCUGAAAGAGAUUAAAGAUUUAUCGGUGAUGGAUGGGGAUGCGUCUGAUUAGCUUGUUGGCGGGGUAACGGCCCACCAAGGCAACGAUCAGUAGGGGUUCUGAGAGGAAGGUCCCCCACAUUGGAACUGAGACACGGUCCAAACUCCUACGGGAGGCAGCA
rnacentral:rRNA from 1 species